UGCCGCCAUGUUGAUGGCGCGGGACGCUUAGCUCUGGAGGAGCGGUCGGGGAGCCGGGUUAAGAUGUCGGAAAAGGGGGAAGGUUACAGCUGAUUCCUGUGAAAUAAAGCACUUCCUUAUGCCAGGAGGAUACUUAAUUGGAAAGAGUCGUGAAGAAUUUUGCAGGCUUGCUUGAAGUCUUGGCUAAAGUCCAGUAGUGGUACAGCUCAGGUAAAAUGGAGUCACAAGGGUUUUUUUCAUUCUUUGGCUCCUCCUGGAGGUAAGUACGAUGCAUUUGCUCAGGAUAUUGCUGCCCAGUAACUACACAGGUGGUGUGUGUGCCACAGGAUACACAAGUGCUGGAGGAAGGAUGUUGUGAUGUUCUGUAGAUACUUCACCUGGACAUUGUGGGCUUUCAAAAUUUGCUGGUACUAAAAGAAACUGAGCCACUUGCAUGCCAUCCUGCAAAAAGUCCAGUGUUCUGAGUGUGCAUCUCCUCACAGGCAGGUUCUCCUGUUUUAUCAUGCUUCUCACUGAAGAAAAGGAGUGGUGGGGGUGUAAUGCUCUCUUAAUAAAAUUUGUAGCAUCAAUAGUUCCAUAUAUCUGGAGAAUUCCGAAUUACAAGUACAGCCCUUUUUAUUUCUUUCCUUAUUCUGUUUCUCCUCUAUGCAGAUACCUUUCGACUGGGGAGCUGUGGGCGAAAUAAAGGGCAGUGGCACGAUGACUUCUGUCACAGCUGUUGCCCACUGUAGAGUUUAGGCCUAUGCUUUUAUCUCUGCAGCUGAUACCUGGUAAGGAAGGUAAAUAUUGCAGUGGAAUGGUUGGGUCAAGCUUGAUUAUCUUUUCUAUAACUGUCAGAAAAAGUGCAUGUGAAAUUCUCAUCCAGGAUGGUCUGCUGGCCGAACGACAGUAUGUUUUGUUAAACUGGUUUUGAAACAAUUUGGUUUGACCUGCAGUGGUUCCCUUCAGUCCCUCCCCAUCCCCCUGCAGUCAGUGCUGCUGCUCUGAGGAGAGUGCUGUGCACCCCACUUUACAGAUAAUUGUAUGUUGUUAUUUAUAUCUUAUUUCUUUAUCUGUAGAUGUAGGUGCCACUGAUACCUCAUCUAAGGUAGGAAAAAAUAAAUGGCUUCAGAAACAAUCCAAAUGAACACCUGAUGCAAGAGAGAAGUAAAACAAGUUUUCUCUGUGUGUUGUUCACUUUGGUCUGUUUUGGAGAAUUUGAUACUUGCCAGUGUAUGGAUCUUGUUGGUCACAUCUUGUCAGAGAUGUUCAUGACGAAACGUGUGUUAUGUGUCUCAGACCUGGAUAAUCUGGUCACCUGAAAGUGCCAAUGUCCAAAUCUAUCCUGACCCAACAGGCCUUAAUUGCAGUGUCUGUAAGAAGCUUACAGUGCUGUUGCAGAAAUACGUGGUGUGGCUGCAUCUCUUAUGAAAAGAUAAAAGGUGACAAGAGAACUGAAAACCCGCCUGUUUCAGUAUGCUCUGCUUUAGCGCUGUUAAUGAAAACCUGCUCCAGUGUCUGUGUGGUCCUCAGCCUGUGCAGCUGAGAGGUUUAUGUGUAACUUUACUGUGCUGCACUGCAAUACCUAUGGGUUGUCAUUGUUACUGAAGUGAUUUUGGGCACUGUGGACUCUGGUAAGCAACCGCCCAGUUUCCUGACCUGGAGAAUCAGUUGGAAGAUCUGAAGGAGAGACGAAGAAGUAGGAAUGUGUGAUGACUUCGCUCAAAGAAGAAAAUGCUCAGUCUAAGUUUAAUCCAAGUUCAUAUGUAGAAACCUGUCUUUGUGUCUCAGUGCUCAUUCUGACAAGUGUGCUCUUAAAGAAAUCAAGCAUUUGGAUGCUUAAAUUUCACUGGGUAGUAUACAAAGCCAGGCUGCAUAAGAAACACAGAUUGCAAGGUGGAGUAUACUAACACAUCAUGUCAUCAUUUUUGAGGUGUGUGGUGGUCUAGAUCUACUGCCACUGUCACAUCCAUGUCAGUGCAGCAGGGAACUGUUGGGAUUCUUGGAAAUUAUGGUCAGGCAUAAUGUGAUUCCUGGUAUACAGAUUCACUGGACAAAAAGAUUUACAAUGUGCACUGAAACAAAGUGGAAUAUGGUUUCUAAGAUUGAUACCAUUUAUGCUAGUCUUGGAACAUAAAUUUUGGUUUUAGAUCCUCUUUCAGUUAUCCUGGCUGUAAGUCCCUUUGGGGGAAGGAGAGGAAGUGUCACUGACCAACUGCUUAUUUCAAAGCCUUUGGGGGAGGGUGUAAACUCUUUCAAAUGAAAGUUGCUGCUCAGAGGAUAGUGGAUGAAGAAGCUGUGAUGAAGGUUGGUUUGUUUUAAUUGUUUCCUAUGGAGCUGUUUGCCAAAAAGUUUCUGGAGCUGCAAGGUGAAAGGUGAGAGGAUGAGUUCAGCUAGGAAGAACAGGCAAGUACUUGUAUAUCAUGUUACUGUUUCCAAGUAUCUUAAUGCUGAGAAUACAUUGUGAGUUUGGAAAAACAGGAAAGAGUGGAAGGCUUCUGUGCCUUUUUAAAAUGUUCUAAAUGAAAUUGUGGGGAGGCAACUGUUAAACCAGUAUCUGGAAGAGCCUAGUAUUUAUGCAUAGCCAAACGAGUGUAAAGCAACUCUGGAAAUUAUUCUAAUGACUAAUUAUAAAGUGUUUUCCUUUUUUUUGUCUUUCAGCAAAAAGAAGAGUGCUCUAAGACCAGUCAGGAGCCAAGUUAGGAUGGAUAUGUUCUUCAGCUGAAACAUGGCAGCAGUUCAGUGACAGUUACACAAUAGGAAAGGGUGUUCAGGCUGCCGCAAGUCCCCGUGUUCUUAAGAUCUGGUAUCUGAAAGAACCCAGUAGAGAGAAAAAGGUGGUUGCUUCCACAGCUUCGAAGUCACUCAGUUCACUCAAGCAAACUCAUUUGAAAAGAGAGCUCAUCUGAUACUGAAACAGGAAAUUGAUUUUAUUUUAGAUACUGGGGAAGAUAAUCACAAUAUGCAGAACUUAAAAGUGCUAGUCAGGACACUGAAAAACUGCAAGUAGCUGAAAGACAGAGGAGGCUCCAAGGUUCCAGUUGUGGGAAGCUCCCUUUAGGAAGGCACACUAGCAGUGGGGAGAACUUGCUAAACAAGCAGAAUCAAAAGUUCUGCAGCUGCUAGCUACACAUGGAUUUAUCUCUUAAGGUGGGAUGGCCUGACAUGACCACUAAAGACCACAAUGCUGUAGGCAGACUCCAUUUCUCUUGAAAGGACAUAUGCCACUCCCCAGUUCAGAACCACCCAAACAGCUUCAGUUUUUGUCAAACACUCUUAGUUCCUGAAACAAUAGCUUUUCUUGGUCCACCUAACUCUUGCAGAGCCAGCUGGUUGAUUGUAGCUGUGCACUGAAGAUAAGCCUUGCUCCCCCCUGCAUUGCUGGAUAAUUGCACACAAACAUGGCUCAGAUGGACUCAGGGCUGAGCAUAAAUCCUUUGGCUGCCGCUGUUCUGGCUAUAAUUUGUACAAUGGGUGCCCUGAGCACUUCCAUUUGGAACAAGAAACACUUGGAGUGCAUGUUUAGAUGUACUUCGUGUGCUCUGCCCUCUUCAGCACAAAGCUUGAUAAAAUCCCGUAUUGCAUAAAGCAAGUAGAGGUAUCCCAGAGGUUAUGGUUGGUGUGGACCUGACUCAGUUGCCACUAAUCUGGGGAAGGUCUAUUUUUGUUGUGGUGUGGUAAACCUGAGUUGGUAACUGAUACUGUUGAGCUGAUGGGCUUGCCUGUGCCAGGAGAGCAGUCCAUGAGCUGGCAAACAUUCAAGCGUGGUACUAGCUUUUAUGUCUUUCAACAUUAAAAAAAAAAAAAAAUUAAAUGUGGGAGGGGAGAGAGUAGAGGAUUUUUAAGGGCCACAUAAAUUCUACUGAAAUUAAAAGCUCACUAAGAAUAUCUUCAUUGAAAGAAUGCAUUUUGGGAAAUUACCUCCUUUGACAAGGGCAAUAUGAGCCUUUGGUUAUGGCAAGUGUCCAGCACUGUUCAUUGGCUCUUUCUUUUGUGAGGUUGUAGGGGAAGAGUGUUGGAUGAAAGGAGAGUGAAAGCCUUAACCAGAGGUUUACAUUUAAUUUUAGCAACUUUGUUUAUGUGAAGUGAUGCACUGUUACUAAUUUCCAAAGGAAGUCCCCCACCUAAAUUGAUGGAAUCCCUGAUCAUGUGUGUGAGCAUCUUUGGGUUCUUCAGCUGUUUGAGUGCAAUGCUGCAAAAUUACUUGUUGCUUCCUGUAUGAUUCAGCUUAAAAUACAAGCUUGGGCAGUGAGUACCUAAGGAAUAGUAGUGUAGUCAGAGCAUUCCUCAGUGCACACAAACCAUUUCCUUUCGGGUAAGUAAUGCUGCACUGUGGAAAAGCAUGCAGCUCCUAGGACAGCAUCAUUUGAUUGUGUUGCCUGUGCCACAAUUCCCUGCAUUUCCUCUCUUCCUUGCUCUGGACUCUUAACCCAAACUUGUAGUAUCUCUAUAUGUUACCACUGGUUGACUCUCAUUUUUGGGUGGUGGUUUUUUGCUGUUUAUUUGCAAAUGCCUCUUCCUGGAAAACUGGCAGCGACAGUAAGUAUCUCAGGUUCCUGGCCAAGUUUCCACUCACAUAGUUUCACUUGCUCCAUUCACAAGUUAUUUACAUGUGGUGUCCUAAGGAUGUAAUUUAGUGGAUUGCUAGUGAGGAGCUAACCUUCAUGUGUUGGCUGCAGUCCAUAUAAGUUACACAAACCUGCUUCCUCAUGAGUUCAGUGGCUACUCUGGCAGCCCUUGGUUUCCUGAUGCACAACUUUAUGAAAAAGAUGUUACACUGCUCUUGCAGAGAUUUAAAGUUGGUCACACUAGCAUUGCUCACUAUACCUGCUGAGUUGCAUGACCCAGAAUGUUUUCUGAACCUUGUUCUGCAUGCACAACACCUAGGGCUCACAAGGUGAGAAGAGUGUGUUCUUCGUGUCUUAACAGGUCUGAUGUGCCACAAUACAAGAAAGAUAGCAUAGAGAUGUGUAGUUGAUCACUUAAGCAACUUUGCUCAAGGUAGUCUUAACCCUUGUGUUCUGGUUUCAUGUGUAUCAGCAUUGUUUUGUUUCUAGUAGAGCCUCUUUGGGUAUACAUUCCUAGGUGGUAUUCCCUGCUUUGGAGCUCUUGGAAAAUGCAGUUGCAUGAAGUAGAGGCAGUAAUGGCACUGGUAGUUUGAGGAGUUUGGUGUUACCUUCUGCCCUUGCCUUCCCAUGCUGCAGUACACCUUUCCCUUUCAUGCUAAUGCAACUACCUGGAGCGGCAUAUGGAGCUAUUGGUGUCUUAAUCAGGGUGUUAACACACACUCCCUGCCCUGGGUGUGUUUUUCUGUGGGUCAUUGCAGAUGUUUGGAGAAGGAGGUUUGUAGUUCUGUGGCUUUCCAGAACUUGAAUUAGGUAUGUGAACUGGUUUAGAGCGUUUUCACCAUGGCACAAAAACCAGGUGACUGGGUGCAUGCCAGAAGUCCAAAGUUGUUGCCUUGUUGCUGAAGUCUCUGACUCAUUAAACCACACAUCUAAGGAUGCUGUUAAUUUUGUGGGGGAGGAGCAGCAGUGUCCCUUGUGCACAUGGGUGCUUUUGUUAACCGUGUUUUUCUGUGUUAGGUCUCAUGACACGUCCUUUUUGUGGUUUUGCUGUGUGUAGCCUUCUGACCAGGCAGCUCAAGCAGCCCUGCUGUCUGUAAGCAGCACUGGAGAUUGUUCAAUGUACUCCAGACAAAUCCUUUUGCAAAUGGAGCUGGAGUAAGAUGUGGAACACUUUUCUUCUAAGUUUGGAAUUUUUUUUUUUUUUUUAUUACUGAGACUACCAAUAUAUUUUCCUUUGAUGGAACUAAUUCUUUCACAUAGGGAGUUGUACAUUACCCGUGCACAUGUAGCCAAAUACAAUUACAUAUUCAAUGGCAGAGUAGAUCAGCAAAAGAGAGAAUUGGGUACUAAAAUGUUGCACAUAUGAUAGGUAAAAAGCUAAACCCUAUUGUCAUUUUUGCAAUGUUCCUGCUUACAGUGAAGGCUGCUCUGCUGUGAGCUCUUACUAUGCAAUUAUGAUUUCCUCUCUCUGUUGUGAUAAUGGUGAAUGUUGCCCUCUGAUGAGGACAAUGAGGUGACAGCUGUUUCAGAGAGACCUGCAGUGGCUUCACUAUACAAGCUCUGCCUCGGUGGAUGUCAGCUGAGAGAGUAAUUGCAUCCCCCAGUUGCUGCUGUUAACCUUUCUGGAGAAACAAACAUGAAGUAGAGGCACGUGCAAUCCUCACAUGAGCUGGCAGCCAGGUGUGUCACCAGGGAUGACAGGCAGUCACACUUCACUAACUCACAGUGGUGAGGUGCAUUUGGCCUUCUGAAAAUUCUUGCCCACUGAAAGCUCUCAACUCCAGGGUAGAUUUUGACUUGAGGAAGUGCUGUCCCAGUGCUACCUCCUCGAAACAAGGGGGUGAUGAAAUGGACUCUAUUUUACUGGGUCCAAAGAGAAUAAAUGAAUGUUAUUCAUUAGAAAUAUUUAUACAAUAAUUCAUAAGUAUUUUUAUAGUGUAAAUUAUUUCUAGAUAUGUAUCUGGAAGUCUAGGCAUAUAUGUCUGUAUAUAAAAUGUAUACAUUUGUAUACAUGUUUUUAUAUAUUACUCAUAAUUUAACACAUUAAAAUACAAAUUAGUGAGUUGGGAGAAUCAUGGAAAAGGAGAGGAGCUUUUUGACAAACUCAUGGGAUGGAGAAGCUAUUCCUUCUUGAGAACAAAUAGAACACAAAUGUCUGGUCCACAGCAAAUACAGUUGGCAUUAAUUGUUUUGUUAAAACAUCUGCUUAUGUCUGUCUUUUAAACUUUUAACCUUGAGAGGGUUGAUUAACCUUGUCAUGAGUACUGAGGCAUGUGACAUGCUUGGCCAUGAAAGCAAAGAUGUGAGGGGUCUCUCACAAGUUUCUGUCAACACUUCAGUGAUUGGCUCUCUGGGAUGGGUGGCAUUGCUGCCAUUCAUUCUGAGUGGCAUUGCAGCUCCCUUCACAUGAGCUUGAUGGUACCUCAGCUAUCCCAGCCUUUUGCUAUAUUCAGGUCUCUGUUACCUGAAGUUAAAUUUAGGUACAAAUCACAUCGGCCAAGAUAUUUCUUUUGGAAUAUGUCUGCCUCACUCUUUCUGAUAUGACUGUCUCUGCUUCUUGAGUACUAUUGAUUUAUCAUCUAAUUUCUCCCAAAGGAAACAUGCACCCUGAACUUCCCCUAUGCGCUGGCAGUGCUUUAUGUGUGCAACCUCCAGGUAAUGUUCACCUCCAUGGAUGUAAGAGAAUAUCUAUCCCAGUCUUUCCUGAAUUUACUGCUCAGCAGUCAGUGACUUAGCAGGAAAAACAAGGCACUAUUUUGCUCAUGUCCACCAUCCACAAAUGGCCUUUGAUUUUCAUCACCAUUUUGUUUCUAGCUAGUCUGCAACACACAGCUUUUCCAAACUCUUUUUUUUUUUUUUUUUUUUUUUUUUAAUUUUUCUACUAUUUCCUUGUCACCCAUAAGUGGUACACUGCACUCAGUGUUUAGUGUGUGAGAAACCCUAGAAUAAAUCCGUAUAGUAAGAAAUUUUAGCUGUGGGGAGAUAGUGAUUUUGGUGGCUGCAGAAUUCCACCCAUAGCAUCCCAUCAUUAUAAAGAAAAAAGUAAGUUUGGAGGAAAGAGCUCUCUUUGAAUCUGGCUAGGGAAAGAGAUGUAAUAACACUUAAAAAGUAGACAAAAAGUGCUCUUCAUGUGCCAAGUUUCAUAUAUUUAAUCUUUGCAUUUUAGAAUUUUAAAGUUGUACCUUCUAUUUCCAAAACUGAUGACACAUGAGGAAAACCAGAUCUCUGUAGCCAGUUGCUUCAAAUACCUCCAAUACAGAAGUGGUGUUUUGCAGAUGCCCAGGGAAGAUGCAGACCCAUGGUAUUGCUGGGAACCAGCCAGUCACAGCUAAAAUACAAUAGUGCAAAAACCUGUCAGCAGGCUGAGCAAACCCAGCCCUUCGUACACGUUAUGUCUGCAGUGUUCUGUGUGAAAGCUUUUAUCCCUUGGAAAACUUGCUGACGUAUUUUAACAAGGAGAAUCAAAGACUUAGAAGUGCCUCUGCAGGGUUCCCCUAAUUUGUAGUGCAUUCAUAAUCAUAGUCUACUACUGCCCUCUCUUUAGUAAAGGUUAUAUUAGAAGCCAUCCAUAGAUAAAGAACUCUUUGAUACAGUUUUAACUAGUCACCCAUUUUCAUAUGCCUGGUUUUGACAUCGGCAGGUAUGUUCACAUUUCUGAGUCCAAAAUGCAAGGUAGCUUUGUAUUAUUUCUUUAGAAAACAGUAGAUGUCAUAAAAGAAGGCCUAAUUUUCAAAACAGAAACACUACAUUUGUAUUUUAUUUAAAAUAAAAUGAAUGCAUGCCGGUGGUUGUGCAAGUACAGGGUUUGUUCAGGCAGGGUUUGUGGUUUCCUAGCCCACCUGUUUUGCCUGCAGAGCAGCAAAGGGAGCACGGUUUGUGCAAUCAUAAAUCCUGUUCGUAUCUUCUCUCCUGGCAGGCUCCUAGGGACACGGCUGUAAGGUGAAACCCGGGCUGGAUGCAGCUGUAAGGGGAGAAGGGGAAUAGCAGAGCUUCCCCUUGCAGAACCCGAGGCACCCUGCAACGCAAAUGGGCGCAGAGAGGAGCCUGCCUCGGUCCCUCCCGCUCCCUUCGGGUCACACUGCUCAAGUCUCUAGGGUAGCUGAAUUCCACGUGGUGCUGCAAAAUGCACGUCAGGGGCGUUGAUCUCUGCUGGCUCUGAAACAGGAGAGCGUUGUAGCUGCUUGAGCUGCUGGCCCCCUGUGCCCGUGGGUGUCCACCGGCAGAGGGUGGCUCUAAGACUGUUCAUGUAAUCCUGUAAUGUUUAAACACUCCACAGUGUGAA